rnacentral:rRNA from 1 species
UACGUAGGGUGCAAGCGUUAAUCGGAAUACUGGGCGUAAAGCGUGCGCAGGCGGUGAUGUAAGACAGAUGUGAAAUCCCCGGGCUCAACUUGGGAACUGCAUUUGUGACUGCAUCGCUGGAGUGCGGCAGAGGGGGAUGGAAUUCCGCGUGUAGCAGUGAAAUGCGUAGAUAUGCGGAGGAACACCGAUGGCGAAGGCAAUCCCCUGGGCCUGCACUGACGCUCAUGCACGAAAGCGUGGGGAGCAAACAGG